rnacentral:lncRNA from 1 species
UCCAUGUUGCCUGGUCUGGUCUUGAACUCCUGGGCUCAAACGAUCUGUCCAUCUUGGCUUCCCAAAACCUGAAGCCAGGCCAGCCUUCCAUGAUUAGACCUCAACUCAUGAGAACUCUUGCCUUGCUCACAAGUGGGAGUAAAUGCUCAUAGCUCUAGAAAUCUCCCAGGAACCAGACAUCACGGAAACUAGAAAGGCUAAGGGAGUCCAAUCUUCCUCUAAAUUGGCCAACAGUAGAGUGGUGGAAAGAGAACAAGCUGCAAACCAGACAGACCCAAGCUUGAAUCUCACCUCUGCCAAGCUACCAGGGACCUACCCCGAACUUUCAUGAACCCCUGGUAGCUGAAUAGCAGCUUGUCUAAGCGAGGUGCAGGGAUUUUGUCAAAGUCGGCCUCGGUGUUAAAGGCAGGGCCACCUACCAUGAACUUCUCUCUGUGACUUUAUUCUUUAGCAGUGCUCAAGUGUAAAUAAACUUGUUUACCAGGAUCAGAAUGGCCAUGUUAAUGAAGUCUUAUUUGUGUCACCACAAUGACAAGUAAUUUGUGCACAGCUGGACUCGGAGAGGGGACAAAACCAGAGAAAUUGUAUUUCUGUUCUGAAGUUUCCAUACAGAUGCCUUAGGCCAAAGUUAGUACAGCCAAUAUUUGCCUGUUUCUUUGGAUUGUGUGUCCAUGCUGGAGAAAAGCCUUGUUACUGUGCCCAGUGUGGUAAACGAAAUUAUAUGUACGCAGUGAGAAGAAAAAUGAAAUAAGAAGCACUGAUGAAUGUACCCACGGGUGUGACCUUGGGGGCCAGUGUGUGGUUUUUAUGAAAUGAACGCAUGAAUACGAGGACCCUAAUUAUUGCUUUCAACGGACAAAGUAUGGUGAAUAUAUAGAGAACGUUGCUGUACAACACUGGCUGUGUCUCAAAGCGGCUUUAGAAGUAAAUAUAGAAAUUCUUUGGUACAUGGUAUUGCAUAGAAAAGUCAUUAAGAAAAAAGCAAGACAAUUUGUUAAGACCUUGUUAAGUGGAGCUGGGGGAUGAUUAAUUUUGUUUGUUUGUUUUUGUUGUUCCCUGGUAGAGCUCAACAAACUACAGACCACGGGCCAAAUCUGACCCACCGCUG